AUACGUAGGUGGCAAGCGUUAUCCGGAAUUAUUGGGCGUAAAGAGUGAGCAGGCGGUUAAUUAAGUCUGAGGUUAAAGCGUGGGGCUCAACCCCAUAAAGCCUUGGAAACUGAUUGACUAGAGUACGGGAGAAGUGAAGGGAACUCCAUGUGUAGCGGGGAAAUGCGUAGAUAUAUGGAAGAACACCAGUGGCGAAGGCGCUUCACUAGCCCGAAACUGACGCUCAGUCACGAAAGCGUGGGUAGCAAAUAGGAUUAGAUACCCUAGUAGUCCACGCUGUAAACGAUGACAACUAAAUAUUGCCGCGAGGCAGUGUUGAAGCUAACGCAUUAAGUUGUCCGCCUGGGGAGUACGGUCGCAAGACUGAAACUUAAAGGAAUUGACGGGG
rnacentral:rRNA from 1 species